rnacentral:rRNA from 1 species
AGCUAAUAGAUACCCUGGUAGUCCACGCCCUAAACGAUGUCUACUAGUUGUUGGUGGAGUAAAAUCCAUGAGUAAACGCAGCUAACGCGUGAAGUAGACCGCCUGGGGAGUACGGUCGCAAGAUUAAAACUCAAAGGAAUUGACGGGGGCCCGCACAAGCGGUGGAUUAUGUGGAUUAAUUCGAUGCAACGCGAAAACCUUACCUGGCCUUGACAUGCCACUAACGAAGCAGAGAUGCAUUAGGUGCCCGUAAGGGAAAGUGGACACAGGUGCUGCAUGGCUGUCGUCAGCUCGUGUCGUGAGAUGCUGGGUUUAAGUCCCGCAACGAGCGCAACCCCUGCCAUUAAUUGCCAUCAUUUAGUUGGGCACUUUAAUGGGACUGC